GAUGAAGAACGUAGCGAAAUGCGAUAAGUAAUGUGAAUUGCAGAAUUCAGUGAAUCAUCGAAUCUUUGAACGCACAUUGCGCCCGCCAGUAUUCUGGCGGGCAUGCCUGUCUGAGCGUCAUUUCAACCCUCAUGCCCCUAGGGCGUGGUGUUGGGGAUCGGCCAAAGCCCGCGAGGGACGGCCGGCCCCUAAAUCUAGUGGCGGACCCGUCGUGGCCUCCUCUGCGAAGUAGUGAUAUUCCGCAUCGGAGAGCGAUGAGCCCCUGCCGUUAAACCCCCAACUUUCCAAGGUUGACCUCAGAUCAGGUAGGAAUAUCCGCUGAACUUAAGCAUAUCAAUAAGCGGAGGA
rnacentral:misc_RNA from 1 species